GCUCUCGUAGCUCAACUGGAUAGAGCGUCUGUCUUCGGAACAGAAGGUUACAGGUUCAAAUCCUGUCGGGAGCA
rnacentral:tRNA from 1 species